rnacentral:rRNA from 1 species
UACAGAGGUCUCAACCGUUGUUCGGAUUCAUUGGGCGUAAAGGGUGUGUAGGUGGCGCGCUAAGUCGGGUGUGAAAUUUCGGAGCUUAACUCCGAAACUGCAUUCGAUACUGGCGUGCUUGAGGACUGGAGAGGAGACUGGAAUUCAUGGUGUAGCAGUGAAAUGCGUAGAGAUCAUGAGGAAGACCAGUGGCGAAGGCGACGUCCUGGACCGGCAUUGACGCUGAGGCGCGAAAGCCAGGGGAGCAAACGGG